AUUCCAUGCUGCGGACAUUUCCUUAACAUCUCUUUAUACCUCUCCCAUGUCUCAUACAAUGAUUCGGACUCCAAUUGAUGAAAGGAAGAGAUAUUACUUCUGAGUAU